rnacentral:rRNA from 1 species
UAACGGCGAGUGAAGCGGCAACAGCUCAAAUUUGAAAUCUGGCCCCCGGGUCCGAGUUGUAAUUUGUAGAGGAUGCUUUUGGCAAGGUGCCUUCCGAGUUCCCUGGAACGGGACGCCAUAGAGGGUGAGAGCCCCGUCUGGUCGGACACCGCGCCUCUGUAAAGCUCCUUCGACGAGUCGAGUAGUUUGGGAAUGCUGCUCUAAAUGGGAGGUAUAUGUCUUCUAAAGCUAAAUACCGGCCAGAGACCGAUAGCGCACAAGUAGAGUGAUCGAAAGAUGAAAAGCACUUUGAAAAGAGAGUUAAAAAGUACGUGAAAUUGUUGAAAGGGAAGCGAUUAUGACCAGACUUGGGCCUGUUUGAUCAACUUGGGUUCUCCCGGGUGCACUCUCUCAGGCCUAGGCCAGCAUCAGUUCGUAGCGGGGGAUAAAUGUUUCGAGAAUGUAGCUCCCCUCGGGGAGUGUUAUAGAUCGUUUCGCAAUACCCUGCCUCGGACUGAGGUUCGCGCAUUCGUGCAAGGAUGCUGGCGUAAUGGUCAUCAUCGACCCGUCUUGAAACACGGACCAAGGAGUCGUCUUCGUAUGCGAGUGUUCGGGUGUUAAACCCCUACGCGGAAUGAAAGUGAACGCAGGUGAGAGCUUCGGCGCAUCAUCGACCGAUCCUGAUGUUCUCGGAUGGAUUUGAGUAAGAGCAUACGGAGCCGGACCCGAAAGAAGGUGAACUAUGCCUGUAUAGGGUGAAGUCAGAGGAAACUCUGAUGGAGGCUCGCAGCGGUUCUGACGUGCAAAUCGAUCGUCAAAUAUGGGCAUGGGGGCGAAAGACUAAUCGAACCUUCUAGUAGCUGGUUUCCGCCGAUCCCUCUCUCAUAAGGAAA